rnacentral:rRNA from 1 species
AUUGAACGCUGGCGGCAUGCCUUACACAUGCAAGUCGAACGGCAGCACGGGGCAACCUGGUGGCGAGUGGCGAACGGGUGAGUAAUGCAUCGGAACGUACCUUUCAGUGGGGAUAACGUAGCGAAAGUUACGCUAAUACCGCAUAUUCUGUGAGCAGGAAAGCAGGGGAUCGCAAGACCUUGCGCUGAUUGAGCGGCCGAUGUCAGAUUAGCUAGUUGGUGGGGUAAAGGCUCACCAAGGCGACGAUCUGUAGCGGGUCUGAGAGGAUGAUCCGCCACACUGGAACUGAGACACGGUCCAGACUCCUACGGGAGGCAGCAGUGGGGAAUUUUGGACAAUGGGGGCAACCCUGAUCCAGCCAUGCCGCGUGAGUGAAGAAGGCCUUCGGGUUGUAAAGCUCUUUCGGCCGGGAAGAAAUCGCACGGGCUAAUACCCUGUGUGGAUGACGGUACCGGAAUAAGAAGCACCGGCUAACUACGUGCCAGCAGCCGCAGUAACAC